UCACAAUUUCUUACAUCCAGAAACCAAAUCUCAUUUUUACAUGUAUUGGAUUUUGGAUUCGACAUACGAUUGAAUGAAAUUUAUCGGAUUCCGAAGAUAAUUCCCAUUUCUUCAGUUUUGUCUCAGCUGGGUUUUCGCCUACACAAAGAGGGAAUUUGAAUUGAUUGCCCGCAAGAAAAUGGCGUCCAUUUUCAGGAGUGGUUGUCCAGUGGCUUCACGUCUCUCUCAGCCAUGAUUGAUGACUUUUUUUUUUUUGGUAUAAUCUUUCCCAUUGUAAUCAUGAAGAAACGACCAAAAACGGGAUUGCUUUCGACCUCAAGUUGUGCCACUCCUCUGGCUCCGCCCUAAAGAUCAAUUUCUUUGCCUUAUCCAAACUCGUACUGUUUUAUAUUUAAUUUCUUAUGGGGUUUUUAUUAUAUGUUCAAUAAUGGACUGGUUUGAACGAAUCUUCCGUUCCUUUUCUUCAUGUCCCUGCUGUUGAGCCCACCCUUUUCUUUUUCUGGGUGGAAUCUGUCAGAUCAGAACCCAUGAAAUCAUUUGCUUCACCGUGUUAGAUCAGAUAGUUUAUGGCAUCGGAAUCAACUUGGAUAUUGGAAAUUUGGGAGUUAAAAAGAGUCAAUUUCUUCUGUUUUGGACAGGGAAAUGGCAUAUCCAAGAGAUCAACCUUAUCUUGUCAACUGCUAUGUACAUGUGCGAUCGAAACCCAUUUGAGUUUUCUUUUGUUUUCUUUUUUUUUUUUUUUCCCUUCCUUGUCUCUCAUAAGUCAUAUUCAACUUGGAUUUGAAGACAGGCACUGAGAGGGAUUACCAUUGGUUGUGAGGAGAAGAAGAGAACCUGGGUCAGAUAAUAUAAUGAACAUGGAGUGCUUGUGAAUUUGCAUUAUCCAUUAAAGUACACGUGGCACAACAAUAUAUGUCCAAUUAGGAUCACAUGUGGACCACACUUGGCACUUAUCCUCCUAUGUUCUCAUAGGAAAGCAUGAGGAUGAUAUUAUUAUUUUGAAUGCAAAGACUAGAAAAAAGUGAAUGAGGAAAUUUCCAAAAGAAAAUUCCCAAACUAUAUCUUUGUUAUACUAAUAAGGAGGGGGGGAAGGAGGCGGCUUCUAUAUUCUUCUUUCUUUCUUUCUUUUUUCUAUUCUAUUCUUAUUUUUCCCACCCAGUGAUGAUGGCACAUGGGUGACACUGCAGCAGCCGUUGCUUUCUUCUUAUAAAUAGUGAGUUGAGUGGUCAAUUUGGAUAUAUCUCACAGUCUUAGCAGGGUGUGGUGGAAUCUGCGAGUGAUUUUGUUUAGCAAGAAGGAAAGAUUGAGGGAAAAUGGAGGGAAAGUCUAAAGGGUAUCAAACCUCCUCUUUCGUUGCGGAUCUUUUCGAUGUCAAAGAGCCACCAUUGUCAUCAGCAUCAGGAGUUUUUGCAGCAAUCUUUCCAUCUCCACAGAAGGGUUCUAGCUCUGGGAGUUGGCCAAAACAGACCAAUGAAAAUCAACCACAGCACACCAAACUAGGAAAUUCAGAUGUGAUGAUACUUUCAAGGAGGGAGCUUGGAGCCAUGUCAUCUGAGUUCAUCUCUAUACUAUGGAGGGCAAGAUGGGUACUCCCAUGCCCCACCAGCUGGACCAUCCCAUGCUCCACCCCCCACUUUGAAGAAAAGUGGGGGAGAAGAUGACCCAACUGGAAACAACUCUCAAACUGCUUCCAGGGGAAAUUGGUGGCAAGGUUCCCUUUAUUAUUAGGACCUCCACUUUACCUCAUGAAUUCCCACCUAUUUUCUAAGGUAUGUCGUCAGUCAUUUACUUCUGCUGUCAUGUUGUCUGUGUAAAUGCAUACUUUGAAUCCUCUCUGUUAGUUCUGAUAGGUCGGAGUGAAUUUGAGAUGUCUCUUCGAUGAUACAGCGUUUACUUACCCCUCAUAUAUUCUGUCAAUGAAUGAAACAAUUAUUGAAAACUUA